rnacentral:rRNA from 1 species
UACGUAGGGUGCAAGCGUUUAAUCGGAAUUACUGGGCGUAAAGCGUGCGCAGGCGGUGAUGUAAGACCGAUGUGAAAUCCCCGGGCCUUAACCUGGGAACUGCAUUGGUGACUGCAUUGCUAGAGUAUGGCAGAGGGGGGUGGAAUUCCACGUGUAGCAGUAAAAUGCGUAGAGAUGGUGGAGGAACACCGAUGGCGAAGGCAGCCCCCUGGGCCAAUACUGACGCUCAUGCACGAAAGGCGUGGGGAGCAAACAGG